rnacentral:rRNA from 1 species
AACGCUAGCUACAGGCUUAACACAUGCAAGUCGAGGGGCAGCGAUAUCGAAAGCUUGCUUUUGAUAGGCGGCGACCGGCGCACGGGUGCGUAACGCGUAUCGAACCUACCUCAUACUCGGGAAUAGCCUUGCGAAAGUAAGAUUAGUGCCCGAUGUUUUCAAUAGCCCGCAUGAGUUGUUGAACAAAGAUUUAUCGGUAUGAGAUGGCGAUGCGUCCCAUUAGUUAGUUGGCGGGGUAACGGCCCACCAAGACAUCGAUGGGUAGGGGUUCUGAGAGGAAGGUCCCCCACAUUGGAACUGAGACACGGUCCAAACUCCUACGGGAGGCAGCAGUGAGGAAUAUUGGUCAAUGGGCGGAAGCCUGAACCAGCCAAGUAGCGUGCAGGACGACGGCCCUCUGGGUUGUAAACUGCUUUUAGUUGGGAAUAAAGUGCAGCUCGUGAGCUGUUUUGUAUGUACCAUCAGAAAAAGGACCGGCUAAUUCCGUGCCAGCAGCCGCGGUAAUACGGAAGGUCCAGGCGUUAUCCGGAUUUAUUGGGUUUAAAGGGAGCACAGGCGGACCUUUAAGUCAGCUGUGAAAUACGGCGGCUCAACCGUCGAACUGCAGUUGAUACUGGAGGUCUUGAGUGCACACAGGGAUGCUGGAAUUCAUGGUGUAGCGGUGAAAUGCUCAGAUAUCAUGAAGAACUCCAAUCGCGAAGGCAGGCAUCCGGGGUGCAACUGACGCUGAGGCUCGAAAGUGCGGGUAUCAAACAGGAUUAGAUACCCUGGUAGUCCGCACAGUAAACGAUGAAUACUCGCGAUUUGCGAUACACAGUAAGUCGCCAAGCGAAAGCGUUAAGUAUUCCACCUGGGGAGUACGCCGGCAACGGUGAAACUCAAAGGAAUUGACGGGGGCCCGCACAAGCGGAGGAACAUGUGGUUUAAUUCGAUGAUACGCGAGGAACCUUACCCGGGCUUGAACUGCCAGCGACGGUAGCAGAGACGCUACUUUCUUCGGACGCUGGUGGAGGUGCUGCAUGGUUGUCGUCAGCUCGUGCCGUGAGGUGUCGGCUUAAGUGC